rnacentral:rRNA from 1 species
GACGAACGCUGGCGGCGUGCUUAACACAUGCAAGUCGAACGGAAAGGCCCCUUUGGGGGUACUCGAGUGGCGAACGGGUGAGUAACACGUGAGUAACCUGCCCUUGACUUCGGGAUAACUUCAGGAAACUGGGGCUAAUACCGGAUAGGAAUCCUUGCUGCAUGGUGGGGGUUGGAAAGCUUCGGCGGUUUUGGAUGGACUCGCGGCUUAUCAGCUUGUUGGUGGGGUAGUGGCUUACCAAGGCUUUGACGGGUAGCCGGCCUGAGUGGGCGACCGGCCACAUUGAGACUGAGAUACGGCCCAGACUCCUACGGGAGGCAGCAGUGGGGAAUAUUGAACAAGGGGCGGAAGCCUGAUGCAGCAACGCCGCGUGCGGGAUGACGGCCUUCGGGUUGUAAACCGCUUUCAGCAGGGGCGAAGCUUGUGGUGACGGUACCUGCAGAAGAAGCACCGGCUAACUACGUG